AGUGAACGCUGGCGGUAGGCCUAACACAUGCAAGUCGAACGGCAGCACAGUAAGAGCUUGCUCUUACGGGUGGCGAGUGGCGGACGGGUGAGGAAUACAUCGGAAUCUACUUUUUCGUGGGUGAUAACGUAGGGAAACUUACGCUAAUACCGCAUACGACCUACGGGUGAAAGCAGGGGAUCUUCGGACCUUGCGCGAUUGAAUGAGCCGAUGUCGGAUUAGCUAGUUGGCGGGGUAAAGGCCCACCAAGGCGACGAUCCGUAGCUGGUCUGAGAGGAUGAUCAGCGACACUGGAAGUGAGACACGGUCCAGACUACUACGGGAGGCAGCAGUGGGGAAUAUUGGACAAUGGGCGAAAGCCUGAUCCAGCAAUACCGCGUGGGUGAAGAAGGACUUCGGGUUGUAAAGCCCUUUUGUUGGGAAAGAAAAGCAGCAGGUUAAUACCCAGCUGUUCUGACGGUACCAAAAGAAUAAGCACCGGCUAACUUCGUG
rnacentral:rRNA from 1 species